GACGGUACCCAGAGAAGAAGCCCCGGCUAACUCCGUGCCAGCAGCCGCGGUAAUACGGAGGUGGCGAGCGUUAUUCGGAUUCAUUGGGUGUAAAGGGCAGGUAGGCGUCCCGGCAAGUCAUAGGUGAAAUCCUUUCGCUUAACGAAAGAACUGCCUGAAAAACUGUCGGGAUUGAGGCCAAAAGAGGAGAGCGGAAUUCCCGGUGUAAGGGUGAAAUCUGUAGAUAUCGGGAGGAACACCAGUAGCGAAGGCGGCUCUCUGGUGUGGUCCUGACGCUGAGCUGCGAAAGCUAGAGUAGCAAACAGGAUUAGAUACCCCAGUAGUCCAAGCCG
rnacentral:rRNA from 1 species